AGGGCGUAUGGUGGAUGCCUUGACACUAAAUGGCGACGAAGGACGCGGCGUAACUGCGAUAAGCCUCGGGGAGGUGUGUAGCAACCUUUAAUCCGGGGAUUUCCGAAUGGGGCAACCCAAUUGUGUAAACCACAAUUACCCCGCCUAGAAAGCGUGGGCGCGAACCCGCUGAAGUGAAACAUCUCAUUAAGCGGAGGAAAACAAAAAAACAUCCCGUUUUUGACGGGAUCUAUUCCCCCAGUAGCGGCGAGCGAAAAGGGAGAUAGUCUAAACCCUGUUUUGUCUAUGACAAGACGGGGUGUUGGAAGGUAUAUACUCUGGCGCUCUCGCGGACUAGUGCCAAAUUUUGGCGCCAGUCCGCUUGUAGCAAGGAACGGAAGUCCCAUGAGGACAACCGUGUGCCUAUUGAAGAAUGAACCAACGAGUUUAUGUGCAUCGCUUGUCUAAGCUCUACGGAGUGUAGGCGAAGCGAAAGCGAGUCUUAAAAGGGCGUAUGCCUUGUGUGUAACACAAGUGACUGACGACCAACGACCCAUGACUUACGACAUUUAAUUUUUGUCGUUAGUUGUUAGUUGUAAGUUGUGAGUUACUCGCGUUAUACGCGAGGCCGCGGUGUGCAUAAGACCCGAAGCCAGAUGAGCUUACCUUGGGCAGGGUGAACCUCGCCGAAAGGCGGGAGGAGGCCCGAACCGGUUGGUUGUGCAAAACCUUCGGAUGACCCGAGGUAGGGAGUGAAAAGCUAAUCGAAUCUGGUAAUAGCUGGUUCUCUCCGAAAUAGCUUUCGGGCUAGCGUCCAGGAAAAAUAUUGGAGGGGUAGAGCCACUGGUUGAGAAGUAAAGGGCGAAAGCUCGGCUUCUCAGUCAAACUCCGAAUACUUCAAUAAAUCGCCUGGGCAGUUAGACUAUGGGGGCUAAGCUCCAUAGUCGCAAGGGAAAAAGCCCAGACCGCCGCUGCCAGAGACAGGUAGGAGGUUGGCUUAGAGGUAGCCAUCCUUUAAAGAGUGUGUAACAACUCACUACUAGAUGUUAUGUCAGCUCUGUCAGUGUUCUCGCCGCAGGCGAGAUAGCGGUAGGAGAGCAUUCCUAGCAGCGAUGAAGCCUCAGCCGCGAGGCGGGGUGGAGCGCUAGGAAGAGAAAAUGUUGGUAUGAGUAACCACAAGUCCGAUGUGAAUUUGGACCCCCGAAAAUCCAAGGUUUCCUUCGCAAUGGAAAUCAGCGAAGGGUUAGGCGGGACCUAAGGCAAUGGCGAAAGCCGCAGCUGAUGGACAGCCGGUUAAUAUUCCGGCCCCUCAGUUCUUUUCGAUGGAGUGACGAAGUUGAGUAGAGAGAGCAUCUUAAUGGUUUGGUGUUUUUGAUCGAGGACGUGUUCUCGGUAAAUCCGGAACGCUGCCUUCAAUGGCGAUUCCCAGAGUAAAAACAACUCGGCGAUUAUCAAAGAGCAGUCUCUCAAGCCGACUUCCAAGAAAAACUUCUAAGGUUAAAAGAAUUGAGCCUGUACCGUAAACCGACACUGGUGGGUGAGGCGAGAAGCCUAAGGGGAACGAGUGAGUCAUCCUCAAGGAACUCGGCAAAAAAGCGGCCGUAACUUCGGGAUAAGGCCUCCCUGAACUUCCGCAAGGAAGUGAAGGGUGCAACAAAAGUAUCUCUGGCGACUGUUUACUAAAAACACAGCUCCCUGCGAACUCGUAAGAGGAUAGCGUAAAUCAGCGUAUUUGUCAGCGUAAAUCAGCGUGCGAAGCCGCUUCACGGCUGAGUGGUUGAAGCCCUCGUCAAUGUCAGCAAUAACUAUAAUUGUUCUAAGGUAGCGCAAUUCCUUUCCGGGUAAGUUCCGGAGCGCACGAAUGGCGUAACGACUGGAGAACUGUCUCGAGGAUGAGCUCGGUGAAAAUGCGAUUCCCGUGAAGACGCGGGGUACCUGCAGCGGGACGAAAAGACCCCAGGAGCUUUACUGUAGCUUGAUAUUGGCUUUAGGGUUUGGAUGCGUAGCGUAGUGGGCAGGCUUCGAAGCUUUGCUUUCGGGCAGAGUGGAGCCGACAAUGAAACACCCAUCUUUCAGAUUUUAAAGUCUAACCUUGACGGCAAAAACGGCAGGGAACAGUGUCUGGCGGGCAGUUUUAAUGGGGCGUUAUCCUCCUAAAAAGUAACGGAGGAGUUUAAAGGUCAGCUUAGCCCGGAUGGAAAUCGGGCUGGACGUGUAAAGGCGUAAGCUGGCUUGACGGCGAGACGGACAUGUCGAGCCGAUGCGAAAGCAGAACUUAGUGACCCGACGGCAAUGUUAUACGUUUUAAUUAAUGUGUAACUCUUCAUAGGAAGGCCGAAGACAACGGAUAAAAGCUACCCUGGGGAUAACAGGCUGGUGAUGCCCGAGAGUCCAUAUCGACGGCAUCGCUCGGCACCUUAAUAUGUCGGGGUGCUACAGCAGCAAUGUUGUAGCCUGGUAUCUAAACCUUAGUAUUUGGCUUAUAACGGUGGACUCUAUUUGUUCUAAUAAAUAGACAAUACCGUGGGAAGUUUGACUCAUAAUGGAAAAUAAAUGAGUUAUAACCCCGUAGAGACUUGAUUUGAUGACACAUCAAAUCAGAGUUCUGGUUUUUAUCAGAACUAACACGCCAACUCCUCAAUUUUUUUGAGGAUGAAGAUAUAGUCCACACUAUUAGUGAUAAUAGAUUAUGUACGAUGUCGGCUCACCAUAGCGCGGGGGUGGAGAAGCUCCCAAGCGUUUGGCUGUUCGCCAAUUAAAAUGGUACGCGAGCUGGGUUUAGACCGUCGUGAGACAGGUUGGUCUCUAUCUGCUGCAGGCGUUGAUGCUUGAGGGAAGUUGGCCCUAGUACGAGAGGACCGGGCUGAACGAACCUCUGGUCUACCGGCUUUGGCACCAGCUGAAGCGCCGGGUAGCUAUGUUCGGAAGGGAUAAGUGCUGAAAGCAUCUAAGCGCGAAGCCCAUCCCAAGAUUAGGCAUCUUAGGGCGGUUGAAGAUGACGACCUUGAUAGGCUCCAGGUGUAAGAUUCGCAAGAAUUUUAGCCGAGGAGUACUAAUAGCCCA
rnacentral:rRNA from 1 species